rnacentral:rRNA from 1 species
UACGUAGGGAGCAAGCGUUGUUCGGAUUUACUGGGCGUAAAGGGCGCGUAGGCGGCAAAUUAAGUCAGCUGUGAAAUCUCCGAGCUUAACUCGGAACGGUCAGCUGAUACUGAUCUGCUAGAGUGCGGAAGGGGCAAUCGGAAUUCUUGGUGUAGCGGUGAAAUGCGUAGAUAUCAAGAGGAACACCUGAGGUGAAGACGGGUCUCUGGGCAAUUCCUGACGCUGAGGCGCGAAAGCGUGGGGAGCAAACGGG